rnacentral:tRNA from 1 species
GCAGCGAUGGUCUAGUGGUCAAGACGUCUCACUCCCAUGGCCUUGUAAACACAAACGUUCAUGAUUCUGUAUCGGCGGGUUUCCCGUGGUACUAAGGGAAUCAUGGAAUGAGAAGAUCGUGAGUCCGAAUCUCGCUCGCUGCA